rnacentral:rRNA from 1 species
UACGUAGGGGGCAAGCGUUGUCCGGAUUUAUUGGGCGUAAAGAGCUCGUAGGCGGUUCCGUAAGUCGAGUGUGAAAAAUCUGGGCUCAACCCAGUGGAGCACUCGAUACUGCGGUGACUGGAGUACGGUAGAGGAGUGUGGAAUUCCUGGUGUAGCGGUGAAAUGCGUAGAUAUCUGGAGGAACACCGGUGGCGAAGGCGGCAUCCUGGACCGACACUGACGCUGAGGAGCGAAAGCCAGGGGAGCAAACGGG